UAAAACAAAAACAAAAAGUUAUUACAACUUACAUACAUACAAAUAUAUAUUUGAGAAAUUAAAUUAUACAAGAACAUUUAUUUUUUGAUACAUCGAGAGAUUUUUAUUUGUUUCAAAAGAAUGACAAGAGAGACAAGUAUUGAAUUGAAUUAAAUUUGUACAUAAAUACAAAAAAUACAUUUACGAUCAAAUAAAAAACACACAUAAUACAUAUGUAUGUAUGUACAUGUAUAUGUAUUUUUAUUGCUUUUUGUUAGUGCCAUAGUUUACAAAAUCAUAUGGUCUUUGUUAGCAUUUUUUAUUUGUUUUUCAAAUAAUUUAAUUAUAAAAAGAAAAUACCAAUUGUUUAUGAAGAUUUCAUAAAUUAAAAAUUUAAUUAGAAAACAGUAAUUUAAUAUAUUUAAAAGCGACAAAAUAAAUGCAAAAAAAAUAAAAACAUCAGAAAUAAUUUACAUACAGCGAAUAUUUAGGUCGCAUUUGCAAGGAUAUGGGUAACUGAUGAUAUCAUUCUAUAUUGUAAGUGCCUGUAGUGAUAUACGGGCAGGAUAAGACAUAAUAACUGUUCGGAGAAUGUUCGAAGGGAGAAA